rnacentral:rRNA from 1 species
GACGAACGCUGGCGGCGUGCUUAACACAUGCAAGUCGAGCGGAGCGGCGAACGGGUGAGUAACGCGUGAGUAACUGCCCCCCUCUCUGGGAUAACAGUUGGAAACGGCUGCUAAUACCGGAUAGUGGGGGAUGACUCGCGUCCUAUCAGUUUGUUGGUGGGGUAGUGGCCUACCAAGGCGACGACGGGUAGCCGGCCUGGGAGGGCGACCGGCCCCAAUGGGCUAAGGUAGGGCCCAGUCGCCAACAGGAGGCAACGGUGGGAAGUAUUGCACAGUGGGGGAGACCCUGAUGCAGCAGCGCCGGGUGCGGGAAGACGGCCUUCUGGUUGUAAACCGCGUUCAGCCAUGACGCGGUAGUGGCAGAAGAAGCACCGGCUAACUACGUGCCAGCAGCCGCGGUAAUUC